GACGAACGCUGGCGGCGUGCUUAACACAUGCAAGUCGAACGGGCCUGUCUUCUUUUUUGGGGGUGGGUUGAGUGGCGAACGGGUGAGUAUCACGUGAGUAACCUGCCCUUCGGUCCUGGAUAACCGCUUGAAAGGGCGGCUAAUACGGGGUGGUCCGGUUGGUCCGCAUGGGCUGGUCGGGAUAGAUUCACUGUUUUUGGUGUUUCGGCGGGGGAUGGGCUCGCGGCCUAUCAGCUUGUUGGUGGGGUGAUGGCCUACCAAGGCGGUGACGGGUAGCCGGCCUGAGAGGGUGGGCGGCCACACUGGGACUGAGAUACGGCCCAGACUCCUGCGGGAGGCAGCAGUGGGGGGUAGUGCACAAGGGGCGGAAGCCUGAUGCAGCGACGUCGCGUGAGGGAUGGAGGCCUUCGGGUUGUGAACCUCUGUUUCCGGUGGUGAAGGCCCUGUCCGUGUGGUGGGGUUGACGGUAGCCGGGGAUGAAGCGCCGGCUAACUACGUG
rnacentral:rRNA from 1 species